UAUCGAGGAAACGAUUUGUCCAAUUAAACGAUUCAAAUUUGUAUAUGUAGGUCUGUCGAUGUUCAAAUUCCUUCUACACAGCUCAUAAAUAGCCUACAAAAUGCAGUUAAUCAUUAAUGAACUAACAUCAAAGAUAUUAUAGCCAAUGAUAAUCGGCGGACAAUUGUUCCAUCAAUAAGCUUGAAAAUCCUGAUCCUGUACCACCACCGAAUGAAUGGAAAAUUAAAAAACCUUGCAAACCUUUGCACAUUUCGGUGAGCCUUCGAAUUCGAUCCAAAGUGAGAUCUAUGAUUUCUUUCCCUGAAAAUAAUCAAUUGCUCUGGAUGAAACAACUGCCUGUACGUACCUGUACGAACUUCAUCUAAAAUAUCAACAGUUCAAACAUAGGAACUAAUUAAUUGUUCUGGAAAAACAUUGAAACUUUUCACACGAGAAACACAUGGAGAUGGUUUAAACAGGAGAUUCCUCUGGAUAACAAGCUUGGAUACUCAACAAGGAGUGAUUACAAACUGAC